rnacentral:tRNA from 1 species
GCCUAAAAAGCUGAUACUAUAAGCAUUAGUUUUGUAAGUUAAAGGGAGAAGUUUUUAUUUUUUUGGGCU